rnacentral:rRNA from 1 species
AGUGAACGCUGGCGGUAGGCCUAACACAUGCAAGUCGAACGGCAGCACAGUAAGAGCUUGCUCUUACGGGUGGCGAGUGGCGGACGGGUGAGGAAUACAUCGGAAUCUACUUUUUCGUGGGGGAUAACGUAGGGAAACUUACGCUAAUACCGCAUACGACCUACGGGUGAAAGUAGGGGAUCUUCGGACCUUGCGCGAUUGAAUGAGCCGAUGUCGGAUUAGCUAGUUGGCGGGGUAAAGGCCCACCAAGGCGACGAUCCGUAGCUGGUCUGAGAGGAUGAUCAGCCACACUGGAACUGAGACACGGUCCAGACUCCUACGGGAGGCAGCAGUGGGGAAUAUUGGACAAUGCGCGCAAGCCUGAUCCAGCCAUACCGCGUGGGUGAAGAAGGCCUUCGGGUUGUAAAGCCCUUUUGUUGGGAAAGAAAAGCAGCAGGUUAAUACCCCGCUGUUCUGACGGUACCCGAAGAAUAAGCACCGGCUAACUUCGUG